rnacentral:rRNA from 1 species
UUUAAGCAUAUCACUCAGUGGAGGAAAGGCAAGCAACGGCGACUGCCUCAGUAACGGCGAGUGAAUUGGCAACACCUGGCUCACCCCGAAGUGGAACCCUAUCAACACUGAUCCCGACUCGGGACAGUCGUGUGCGGCUCUCGUGGAUUCCAGCAGAUGCUGUGGGUUAUGGAGCAGGUGGCGUGUUGCAGCCAGGACCGCACCAGGAAGGGCCCUGGAAUGGCCCACAGCAGAGGGAUACUGUCCCGUACGAAGCCUGUGUGUGGCCCCUGGCCUGCGGCACUGCUGCCUGCCUCCCGGAGUAGAGUGGCUUGGGACUGCAGUUUGAAGCGCGAGGUGUAUCCCUCGCAAGGCAGAGUACUGGCAUGGGACCGAUAGAGCACAAGUAGAGUGAUUGAAGGAUGCAAAGGACUUUGCAAAGAGGGUUAAAAGUCCCUGAAGCCGCAACGGCAACGGCGGUGGGUGACGCUGUGAGAUCCCGUCUGGCGCGCUCUGCCCUCUCCGGAGGCAGUCCGUGCCACGACCCAAAUGCGAAGAGAGAUUCCAAGCAACCUUGGGCCAGCCCAGCGCUGGCCAGUGAGCCCCAUCCCUCCAGGGGGGGACGUUUCCUGGUGGCAACUGGUGACACUCUGUGUGCCUGGGCCUGAGGCUGAAGUGACAGUGGGUGAACGGCAAUCAAUGUGCGAGAGCGAGAGAUCCCCUCUGCGGAGGCCAAUUGUGUAGCCCGGCGAUCGAUGGAACACUGCGAAGUAGUAGCAAGUACUCCCCUUUCGGGUGCGUCUGCGGACGUGCCCGUCACCGUGCCUGGCCAUGGAUCCGGGACUGGUGGACCCACGGUGGCUGCACCACCCAUGGCUGGUGGCCCUGUGGGACCGUUGGUCCCCCAGACAGUGCACGGUGCGACGGCAGUGAGCUUGGCCCACCAGUGCCAUUCUCUGCCCGUCUUGAAACACGGACCAAGGAGUCUAUGGAGCCCGCGAUUGUUGGAAGGUGCUGAUGUAAACCGAAGUGCAUGGUGAAGGCAACAGUCCCAGAUGGCUAGAAGCUGCGUGGGACACCAGUCCUGCAGCCCAGUGGACAAGGUUCUGAGUGAUUGCGUGGUCCAUGGGACCCGAAAGGUGGUGAACUAUACCAUUCUAUGGUGAAGCCUUGGGAAACCGAGGUGGAGGCCAGUAGCUGUUCUGACGUGCAAAUUGUGUAGCCUGAGUGUGGCAUAGGGGUGAAAGGCCAAUCGAGCCACCUAGUAGCUGGUUUCCCCCGAAGUUUCCCUCAGGAUAGCUGGGCUUGAAUGCACCCACCCGCAGAGGUUAUGUCCGGUAAAGCAACGCAUGAGAGGCAACAUCUGGGGGGGCCUUCCCCCUCAACCUAUUCUCGAACUGUGAAUGGGCAUGGCACACCCAUAUCACACACGCUUCUUCACUGUCUGGAGCCUGUGGCAAAGAGCAGUCCUUCGGUCUUGAGCAUGUUGCGAGUGGUGGCAGCGAGAGCGCACACCUAUCCUCUGGGCUGGCAAUGGCACAGAGAGAGAGAGAGAACCCCCCCCCGUCGGGGCGCGUUGUGGAACGCAGAGCAGAGACAGAGCUGCCACCAUGUGGUGAACAGACAGGCCUAUGUGGACCAUGAUUGGUAAGCAGUGCUGGUGAUGCGGGAUGCUCCGAGAGUGGACUUACAGGUCCAGAGUGCUGGCUCAUACCCAGAUCCCACAAAGGAUGUUGCCUGCUAGGGAUAGCAGGACGGUGGCCAUGAAGGUUGGAACCCGCUCAGGAAUGUGUAACAACUCACCUGCCGAAGCAAGCUGCUCCGAAAAUGGAUGGUGCCCAAGUCAGUGAAGUUGAAGUUGCCUCACAGUCCACUGCCACUGUGGCAGCAGCAAGCAGAGCAUUGGCAUGUAGGCUGGACAUGGGAGAUUGCAGCGCCCGCUGGGGUUGUCCCCGGCUUGAGUGUCUUCCAGCGCAGAUCUUGGUUGCAGUAGCAAGUACUCCAUCGGGUGAAGCGCAGAACAACCCUGCUGUGUGCGGUUGAGGACUGGAGUGGAGCAGGUUUCCACAACAAACAGCCGUUGAAUGUGGGUCAGCCGACCGUGAGCCAAGUGGUAAAUUCACCGGACAACCAAAGCUGCUGUGGCCCUCCGUGGCCUCUCCCCGAAUCCCCACCAAGUGUAUCUCGAAGGCGUAUCUCCAACCGGACGGUCUCCUGGCAGGACUGGCAAACAGGCAAGCACGUGCAACAUUCUGCUGUGAUGGGACUGGGGUUCCCCCGAGCGGUGAUGCUCCGUUGGCUGGAUCAAGCAGGCUUCGGGGCAGUGGACCCCCUGAGGAGUUCUCGUUUCCUUCUGAUGCAGGUCCACGUGGGCUAUCGAUUGGCAUGACAGAUGGUGGCGUAUGCCCUCCACCCAGCAAGGCGGCAUCCCACCUGACGCCGAUGGUCUCGAAAUGUGUAACUGGCAGCCACAAGGCGUGGCGUCCCACUCUAUACCAAUGGCGGUCACUGGCUCCAAUGAAAGUCCUGCGGGGACCAUGUGCCCCUGAUCCCUGGGUCUUCGUACUGAAUCACCGCAGCCGGUCUCCUCGGCUGGACGCCGCUAGUCGACAGAAGGAAUGCAGCUAAGGGAAGUCGGCAAACUGGCUGUGUACCCUCGGAAGAUGCAGUGGCUCCAGAGGUCAAGUCACAAGGGUCCCAUGGUGGCUCUGGGACGGGCGCGUAGCGCCCUGCGAAUGGAACUGAACGGAACUGCUUGUUUGGGUGUGUCGCUGCCUCUAGAUCCACAGAUGCCUCGCUGUGGAAGAGCUUUGUCCCCAGGGACCUGACUCAUCCCUGUGUCUACAUGGUGGCCAAUAUGGAACUGAUGCUGUGCAGGGGAAUCUGACUGUUUAAUUGAAACCCAGCUUUGUGAAGGGACCCAAGGGCUGAUUCCACGAGGUGACUUCUGCCCAGUGCUCUGAUUGUUAAUGCGAAGAGAUCCAGCCAAGCGCGGGUAAACGGCGGGGAGUAACUAUGACUCUCUUAAGGUAGCCAAAUGCCUCGUCAACCAAUUAUUGACGCGCAUGAAUGGAUCAACGAGAUUCCUGCUGUCCCUAGGUGCUGUCUGGUGAACCAACCGCCAAGGGAACGGGCUUGGGUGUGUCAGCGGGGAAAGAAGACCCUGUUGAGA